UACGUAGGGGGCGAGCGUUGUCCGGAUUCAUUGGGCGUAAAGAGCUCGUAGGCGGUUCAGUAAGUCGGGUGUGAAAUCUCCGUGCUCAACACGGAGCGGCCACCUGAUACUGCUGUGACUCGAGUCCGGUAGGGGAGUGUGGAAUUCCCGGUGUAGCGGUGAAAUGCGCAGAUAUCAGGAAGAACACCCGUGGCGAAAGCGGCUCUCUGGAACGGUACUGACGCUGAGACGCGAAAGCGUGGGGAGCGAACAGG
rnacentral:rRNA from 1 species